AACCAUUCUCACCUGCGGCUAGACCUGCGGAAGGAUCAUUACCGAGCGAGGGCCUCCGGGUCCGACCUCCAACCCCAUGUUAUUCGACCCUGUUGCCUCGGGGGCGACCCGGCCUUCGGGCGUCGGGGCCCCCGGUGGACCACUCAACUCUGCAUCAUUGCGUCCGAGUCACAUAUUGAAUCAAUCAAAACUUUCAGCAACGGAUCU
rnacentral:misc_RNA from 1 species